CGUCGAUAAAGGUUUGUUGAAAGAUAAAUUGAAGAUAUCAGAAGUGAAAAUGCUGGCAUUAGUAACAAAAAACAAUAUGAAAAUUAUUGUCACCGUAAGUCCAAGGGUUUCUUAAGGAAUGAUUAUCGUCUUAGAGUAAAACGGCCUCUAAGAAAAAGGCGAAAGCUUUAUUUAAUGAGUUGAUUUUUAAAAAUAAAUCGUUAUAUUUUGUGACAAAAUUUUAUAAAUUUUCAAGAAAUAACAAAAUAAAAAGUACCGUACCCUAAACCGACACAGGUGGACGAGUCGAAUAGACUAAGGUGUAUGAGAGAAUUAUGUUGAAGGAACUCGGCAAAAUGACUCUGUAACUUCGGGAUAAGGAGGACCUUUUAUUAUUUUAAAUAUUAGGUGGCACGAAAUAGGGGGUGGCGACUGUUUAAUAAAAACACAGGACUCUGCUAAGUUGUAAAAUGAUGUAUAGGGUCUGACACCUGCCCGGUGCUGGAAGAUUAAAAGGAAAUGUUUUUGCAUUGAAUUUAAGUCCCAGUAAACGGCGGCCGUAACUCUGACGGUCCAAAGGUAGCGAAAUUCCUUGUCGGGUAAGUUCCGACCUGCAUGAAUGGUGUAACGACUUCCCCGCUGUCUCCAACAUAAACUCAGUGAAUUUGAAUUAUCCGUGAAGAUGCGGAUUAGCUAUAGGUAGACGGAAAGACCCCGUGAACCUUUACUACAUCUUUGUAUUGUAAUUUUUUAAUCUAUGUGUAGGAUAGGUGGUAAUUUAUUUAAAAAUAAAUAACCUUGAAAUACCACCCUUAUUUUAAAAAAUAACUCAUUCAAAAAAAUAAGAAGACAGUGCAUGGUUGGUAGUUUGACUGGGGCGGUCACCUCCUAAAAAGUAACGGAGGUGUGCAAAGGUAAGCUCAAACUGAUAUUAACAGUUGUAGAGCGUAAUGGUAUAAGUUUGCUUGACUGUUAGAUAGACAUAUCGAACAGGGACGUAAGUCGGCCAUAGUGAUCCGGUGAUUCUAUGUGGAAAGAUCAUCGCUCAACGGAUAAAAGGUACUCCGGGGAUAACAGGCUAAUGACUCUUAAGAGCUCCUAUCGACGGAGUUGUUUGGCACCUCGAUGUCGACUCAUCACAUCCUGGAGCUGAAGAAGGUUCCAAGGGUUCGGCUGUUCGCCGAUUAAAGUGGUACGUGAGUUGGGUUUAGAACGUCGUGAGACAGUUUGGUCCCUAUCUACUGUUAAUGUAAGAAAAUUGAGAGAAUCUGACUUUAUUACGCCAGGACCAAGGAAGAUAUACCUAUGGUGUGUUGGUUGUUCUGCAAAGGGCAGCGCCAAUUAGCUACGUAUAAAUAUUAGAACUGCUGAAAGCAUAUAAGUAGGAAGUUCACCUUAAGAUGAGUGCUCUUUUGUCUCAAACGAUCAACCUUCUAUGAAGGAUUGGCAAAUGAAAGACAAGGAAGGUCACGGCAAGACGAGCCGUUUGAUAGGCAUGAAGUC
rnacentral:rRNA from 1 species